UUUGAGAUUUGAAGUACAUUGCGAGCUAAAUUUUCUUAUUGAUGUAUGUGUUCUUGAACAUUAUUUUUUGGGGAAUUUUGAUAGUUUUGUUGAGAACAAAUGGUUGUGAAAUAUUUUUGGCAGUAUGUUUCUUUAAGCAGGUUCAAGAUAAAUUUUGUAUUGGUAGUAUCGUUAUGCUGCUGAAAACUUUCCAUCGUCUUCGUAUCUCAUAUCUAGGUGUAACAAAGGAGUAAAGAUUUGGUAUCACAACCUCUUUAUGCUUUUUCUUUGGGAACUCUAGAUCCAACAUAUUCACUACAGGAAUUUUUCCUUGAAUGUACCAUUUAUGCACAUUCCCAACAAACAUGUAGUCAGGCAAAGAUGCCUAUAACAUGACACUAUUGAAGCUGGGGGAGUCUGUUCAAGAAGAAUUAUGAAGGCAUCCAUACUUACCGAGCGGAG